CGUGUCAAAAAGUGGCAAAGGCAUCAUCUUUUUCUUCAGAGUGAAGUAGGAAUUUUAGAAUUGGAUACAAUACGAAUCAACCCAGGAUUCUUAUGGGGUUUUUUUUCAGGUGGUAUAGCAAAUAACACUGUCCAUGAAGGAGAUUUCCUCAUGUGAAGUGUACAUGAAACCAUAAUUAAUGCUAAUAAUAGCUGGGUGCCAAAUGUGAAGAGAAGGUCUUCAAAUGGCAAGGGGAGUCACUGCCACAAAGCUGGUGGUGAUUGUGGUGACACUAUUCAGGGAUCCCCAUCACUGUGUGUGAGGAACUGAGUAUCUCUCUUGUAUCUAGUGCUGCAUAAGAUUCCUGAUGUAACAGCCUGUUUCUUGUUUUAUAUUAGAUUCAAAAUAUUGCCCUCCUUUUCUUAAUGGUCAUUAUCAGAGCACAUUAAGAACGAGUCAGUGGAUUUUGGAUGGCUGGAAUCUCACCCCUACUUAAGCUGAUGAUGGUUUUGUCCCUGUUUUCAGGUGCUACCAAAUCAGGGCUCUUUGCAGGACUGAGUGCUGGGCUGUGGGUGUUGCCUGGGAGAGUGCUUCACCUCACAGGCUUCUCUCCUUCCCAACAGUGUUUUUUGCUGGUAUCCAAUGGUGGAAUCCCGGGCAUUUUCCCAUUUGUGAAGCAUGGCAAAGGCCCUUCUUUUGCAGGAAGUGGUUGUAUAAGGUGCUGUAAAAGUGUCUGCAGAAAGAAAUUAAAACAAGCAGCAUAUGAUAUGGGAGUUGAAGAAAUGAUCCAAAAUAAGUGUCUUAGCAGGGGUAUGAACAAGCUGCCUGGGGAAGGAGAGGCCAGUUUCUGAUGAGAUGCAUUUGAUCUCUGCAGCACUGUAUGAACUCCUGAACUCGGUGCUCCCGAGUGUCCCUCAGUUGCAGAGCUUGGAGAAACCCUGCUUACUAUUGUCGUCGCACAUCCAGCCUGUGAUCCACAGCCCCCCGUCCUCUGGUUUCUUUUCUGUGCAACUGCCAAUUGUUCCCUCUUUGCUGCUCAGGAAUUGCAGGGAUUGACCACUACGGGAUCAUGGCAGAAAUCCCCAUCUAAAUACCUCACAGUGGGAUCAACCAGUGGCAAAUGGAUCACCCUCAAGAAUCAGCCAGCUCAGAUGGGAAUGAAGAGCACGUGUAGGGCUGGAAGAAGACUGUAGCACCCUGUGGAAAAGGAAGAGCAUUGUCUGACUUCAGAGCAGGAAUAAAGGUAAACAAAAUAUUUGGGGGGUUGUGUGGGGGUGGUGUCCAGCCCAGCUUUUGCAGACAGAGCUGAGGGCAGCACUUGCCCCCCUGCAUGUGUGCAGAAGCUCCCAAGCCUGUAUUUGUUCUGGUGUGUUAAUGAGCGACAGCAGCCCCAGCGACCAAGGGGACUGUCUAGCUGGAGAUACAAAAGGCUGGUUAAGAACUGGUAAUAUGGGGUCUGUAUAUGCACUGGGGGAGAGGAACUUCAUCCAAGAAAUACAAGGAGAAACUCUAUAA